AUGGGUGAUCGUGCGUGGAUGUACACUGGCCACCCUAGUCAGGCCGACAUGACCGUUGAAUGGGUGAUGAAGACCAAUGAAUUUGUGGAGGCAGCAUUUGCUAGUGGCAAGAGAAAAAGUUGGUGCCCCUGCUUGAAGUGCAAGAACGAUAUAGAACAGUCGAAGAAGACGAUGGGUAAACACCUGCAGAAGCACGGGUUUAAGACUGGGUAUACUCGGUGGACCUUUCAUGGCGAUCCUGAACGUAGCAGAGAGGAGGUGGUUCGUCGGCGCACCGAUGACAAUGGUACCGGGAUCGCUGACAUGGUAGCUAACUUCAACGAUGCACGUGAAGAGGGAUCAGAGGAAGAACCGGAGGAGUCCGCGAGGGCUUACCUAGAAAUGCUGAAUUCGUCACAACAACCUCUUCACGAGUACAUGACACAGUGUCAGCUGGAAACCAUCGCACGAGCAAUGUCUCUGAAGUCCCAGUUCAACAUGAGCAGAGAUUGCUUUAAUUCGAUGAUGACCGCCUGGGGUAGCUCUCUCCCUAAAGGUCGCAAAAUGGCUAAAAGUUGGUACGAAGCAAAGAAAAUCCUUCGUGCACUUAAGAUGCCCUAUGAGCAGAUACAUGCUUGUCCAAACGGAUGUCUCUUAUUUACAAAAGAGUAUGCCGACGACAAGUAUUGUGUCAAGUGCAAAGCCUCUAGGUAUGUUGAGAGAGACCUCGGUGAUGGUGUGAAGAAGCAGAGCAAAGUCCCUGCAAAUGUUCUUCGGUAUCUUCCAAUGUUGCCAAGAGUUCAACGACUUUUCUUGAACGGAGAUACGGCCAAAAUGAUGACAUGGCACAGAUAUGGGAAAAUACCUGACAAGGAUGAUCAUGGGAGGCCGAUGAUGGUACAUGCGUCUUGUGGCCAAGCAUGGAAGAGUUUCGAUCGAAUACAUCAUCAAAAAGCAGAAGAGGCAAAGCAUGUACGAAUCGCCAUCGGACUUGACGGGUUCAAUCCGUUUGGUAUGGUGUCAAAGACAUAUAGUUGUUGGCCCGUGUUUGUUGUUCCACUCAACCUCCCCCUAGGCGUCCUGAUGCAACGCAAGCACAUAUUCCUAUCGUUGAUAGUUCCAGGGCCCAAGUAUCCGGGGAAGAAUAUAAAUGUGUACAUGCAGCCACUGAUAGAUGACUUGAAAGAAGCUUGGGUGAAUGGGAUACGGACAUACGACGCUGUUAGCAAAAAAAACUUCACAAUGCAUGUUUGGUACCAGUACUCAUUGCAUGACCUACCGGCCUAUUCACUUUUCAUGGGGUGGUCUGUGCAUGGGAGGUUCCCAUGCCCAAGAUGCAAGGCGAGCCUUAAGUGUCGUUGGCUACAGCAUGGUGGCAAAUAUUCUUGCUUUGAUUUCCAUAGACAACAUUUGCGCCCUGACCAACCAUUCAGACUAGACAAGAUGAACUUCAUGAAAGGUGAAGUUGUCGAACACUCGGCACCACCUGAGAUGACGGGUGAACAGAUUCGUGAUGAAUUAAAUGCUCUCCAGCCCGAUCCCAACCGUCCAGGGUAUUUCCUGGGAUAUAAUGAACUACACACCUGGACUCACAAGCCAUGCUUCUGGGAUCUCCCCUACUUCCACCAGCUCGAGCUUCCCCAUAACAUUGAUGUAAUGCACACUGAAAAGAAUAUUGCCGAGGCCAUUUUUGGCACAUUGUUCAACAUUCCCAAGAUGACGAAGGAUAAUACUAAGGCCAUACUUGAUCUGAUGAAGCUAUGUGAUAGACCAAAACAAAACUUGCGGCAACCCGCGGGUCGGAAAAAUUGGACAAUGCCACGGGCUAGGUUUGUUCUUACAAGGGAACAAAAGAAGGAGAUACUCAUGUGGUUCAAAACUUUGUUGUUCCCUGAUGGGUAUGCAGCGAAUCUAAUGAGGGCAGUGAAUCUUGAUAAAUUGAAGCUCUGUGGGUUGAAGAGUCAUGAUUGGCACAUAUGGCUUGAGCGGUUAAUGCACGUGAUGAUUCGAGGCUAUAUCCCUGAGGAUGAUUGGGAAGUAUUGGCAGAGCUUAGCUAUUUCUUCCGUGUUCUUUGUGCUAAAGAAGUAUCUCCUACCGUGAUAGAUGACAUGGAAAAACGGGCCCCCGAGUUGCUCUGCAAGCUAGAGAAGAUCUUUCCACCGGGCUUCUUUAAUCCGAUGGAACAUAUGAUUUUACACCUCCCUUCCGAGGUAAGAAUGGGUGGCCCUGUGCAGAACCGUUGGUGCUAUGGACUUGAGAGAAUGCAAAAGACUCUUCGAGCUAAAUGUAGAAAUAAACGUAGAAUUGAAGCAUCCAUAGGUCCUCCCGUCGCACUCUCCCCGAGUACAAAGCUCGGUCGGGUAUCUCAACAUCUUCUAUAUGUCAACGCUCGACUCCAGCAAUGGUUGCGAUGGAGGUAUUCUAUCCAAGUCCUUCUAUGUAUGCUUAUUUUAAUUCUUAGUGUUGGAUUUGAAGAUGUGAUUGCAAUGCCAUAUUCUGUAGUCUCGACUGGAGGAGCAGAGGCGACUGCUAGAUGA
rnacentral:rRNA from 1 species